rnacentral:snRNA from 1 species
GUGUUUGCUUCUGAAGCACAUGAAGUACAAAUGAUUCAGAGAUGAGCACGGCCCCUGUACAAGGAUAACAAGCAAAUUCAUGAAGCGUUCCAAAUAAAG